CCCCGCCAGUGCCCGCACCGAGCAGGCGGCUGCCUCUUCUGCCAGGCAGCCUGCGACAGGAUGAGAGAAACAUCGCCUGGGGAGGGUUAGUUUGGACACUAGGAGAAAUUUCUUCACAGAAAAGCCUGAUUCCUCGAAGCCCUUGACACUGGAAAUUGGGAUUUCCCCGUGCCAUUAGCGCUUAGCAGUAGGCGCUCCAGCCCAGCCAAGAACAAGGGAUUAAGAGCCCUUCAGAGGGAUGGAGAGGAGAACUGGAGGAACAAAAAGGUGAAGAUCACAGGUUGAGGUAAGAACAAUUUACUAGAAACAACAAAGAAAUAAGAAAACUACAACAACAACAAUAGUAACAAGAGUAUUCAGGAUAGGUGAACCAUUCACAUGUGAUUGUGCAAGGAUUCACCUCUGAUUGCUCAAAGUACAGCUGGGUGCUGUAAAAAUUACCCCUGUCCUGGCCAGAACCAGGAAAGAGGCAAAGAAAUGAAAGACUCAUGACAGUCAAUGAUGAACACUCCAGAGUGAGAGCAACAUUAAACCAGCAUGUCCAUAUAUGAUGUUUAUUAGCACAUACAUGUUUAUGUAAGGUUCUGUUCUCUAUAAAGUGGCAAUCAAGAACUGAACAACUAUGGGUUUGGAUUAUUUUUUCCUAUCAGAAAAUACAUUUUGUCUGUAUAUGAACAUUGCAUGGACCCUUUUGAAAAAAAAUCUGAAGAGACUUAUCAGCAUCUUUGCAAAAACAAGUCCAAAUUCCUUUUAAUUUUAAAAUAUAAUAAACUUUCCCUGUUCAGACAGGUGAGUCUCUCUGAAACAACUAUGCACAGUCCUGUUUAGGAAGUUACAGAGUUUGAUAAACUUAUAGAACAGUAGAAAACAAUCCAGACUGAACCCAAGUUUUUGACAUUACACUUGGGAAAUUACUACCUUUGCAAACAUUAACAUCUCCAUGCCUAAGCCCUCAGUUCCAACAGUCCUGUACGUUCAUGCAUGGAAGAACCCGUAAGAACACUGACAUGCCAGAAUGUUUGCAGGAUCACUGCCCGUGAAAGGUUAUUCACAGACACAGUCUCAGGCAAAAUCAUGCCCUCAGAGUUAUUACAACCCUGCCAAAGCCAUGGAAAGCCAACAGUUUUCUACUGUGUGAAGAACAAUACAGCUAUUCUGGACAAGAUUUAUUCUGAAAAAGUAGAGGUUGAGGAUAGUCAUAAUUUUCUUUUCAGAGCCCCGAAGGCUGCUGUGCCUGACCAUGAAGGUUGCCACAGAAUGUAUCAACCCACCGGAAAAGCUAAAGGCAGAGAAAUCAGAAGCUGAAGGUGAAAGUGCAAACUUUUCCUUCUGUGUGCCCCACUCCAUAUAAUCCAUGGAUUGUUUCCUUUGCAAUGUUUUCUUCACCGCAGAUUAAAAUAAGAAUCCUGGAAUCACUGGACUUACAAGCCAGCAAAAGCACUUGAUACUGCACUGCAGCCACAGAGGAGUCCAAAGCAGCCAUGUCUGUCUAUGUCCUGGGCAGUGAUUGUGCUUCUGGGCUGCAGAACCCUCUGUGAAGGUCUGCAGGGAGGGCACAUGUCUGGGCAGGGGGGUGUCACACACUGUUUGUUUAUCACUGAUUUUCCCCAGCAAUGGUGAUAGCUCCACAGCACCUCAACAUCCAGUGAUAAAGACCUUGUUUUCUCCUUCUGGAAAUUACCAGCCAGAGGGAUGUGGACCCAAAUCAGCAGCUGCACUUCAAGGUGUCAGAGACCUGAGAGCAAGGACCUUCCUGUGUAGGUUCUCACCUUGGGGAAUUAAGAGUCAUUUUAGGCAGAACAAAAGUUCUUGGUUUCUCACCUCAGCUCACUCUCCAGUUGACAUGAUGUACAUUUCUCCUGACAUCUACAUCUACCCUGAUCUUCCCCAGCUCCCUGCCCUCAGCAUUCUGUAAACCUUCUUUAAUGUCCUGCCUGGCACUGCAGGCUUACCUCCUGUCUUCUCUGACAGCAUGAAGCAAGGAGCACACUGCCCCAUGCCCACUUGAAGGAGCAAGACUCAAAAAUGAAAAAUACAAGGUCACCACAAACCUGCAUUGAAAAUGUCUCUGUCACACAAGAUAUGCCAGUCAGAGGUUUUUCAUACUGUGUGGGUGACCAUACACUGGAACUGAUUGCCCAAAGAGGCUGUGGAAUCUCCCUCACUGGAGAUAUUCCAGAACUGACUGGCCACAAUCCUGUGCCAUGACCCUGCUUGAGCAGAGAGGCUGGACCAGAUGAUUCACCAUGCUCCCUUCCAACCUGACCCAUUCUGGGAUCCUGUGAUUCUGUGAGUAGAAGUCAUGUUGCAUAGGAAGCACUCUGAGCUCUACAGAAGCUGCAGAGAGGUACAAAGCCUCUUAAAUGUGAUGGAAAAGAAGACAAAAGCAAAACUCAGGCUAGAUAUCUGUGAUCUAAUAAAAUCCCACCCAUGUCAUCAGCUGCAUUGAACUUUGCAUUGGGAAGUUUCAUGCCUGAGCAGUGGAUUCCAAUUGCAGUGAGAUUUUCUCUGCGAUCAAGACACUUAAAAUAUCCACUUUUUAAUGUUUUUAGAGUUUCUUAUGUUUUGGGUGAAAUCUCAAACAUAGAUGACACAAUAAUUGCAGGCAAAAAUACAUGUUGAGUCCUUUGAGAGGAACAGGGCUGUAUCCAUUCCAUAUGCUAACAUAAUCAGUGACAUCCAGUGUCAUUGAAAACUGUUUACAUUGUCAGUAAUAAUUCUGGAAGAAAGAGUUUUUGAGCUGCUUUUUAUUGACACAUACCUCAUUGCAGAAAUUAGCACAAAUGUAGGUAGUUGACAGAGCCAGCCACAGAGAUUUUGUUUUCUCUAAAUAAAUCUGAAUAAACAAUAAAAGGUUAAGUGCUCUUUUUUCAAAGCUUGAAACACAAGCAAACAAAUUGAAGGUAGAGAACUUAAUUAUAUCAAGCAGAAGCUACUGGCAGUUACACUCAUCAGAGCUGAAUAAUUUUCAAUUACUCUGGGAAGAGAGGUCAACAAAAUAUGUUCCCGAAUCUGUCCAUUCCUAAACCCAGACCUCCUAAUGUUAGAGUGUCCUUAGGGUAAUUCAGUGGGGUUUUCUUCCCAGCAAGCACCCUUUUCCCUACUUUGAUGUUUCAAGUUCUUUCCUUAGCAUAAAUAUGUGCCUGCCACAGAGAAAGCAUUUGAACCCCCACCUGCCAAAAGCCAAACUUCCACUCUGUCACAGCCAAGCAUUCAGCCAGAGAGGUGCUACAACAUGACAGCUGCUGCUCCAAGUACCUCUCUGAGGUGCUGAGGGUUUUAACCCAGCAAAAUGAGGACAUGGCCCCAUCCCUGAGUGACCUGUGUCCGUGUCAGAGCUUCCCAGCAGUGUCAGCACAUCCCAGGUGAUGCAGGGGGUUUUCCCAAGAAGGGACUGCAGAGGCUCAACAGGGCUGGCCAGAAGAAAAAUCUCUGGAACAUAUUAUGACUGUGACUCCUACCAAGUGAUGUCAGGAGUUCUGAGUACAGCAUGCUAAUUUUGUCAUAUCUCACCAGCUUUGAGUCUUCAUCUCUGCUUCCAUCAUUUUACUACACUUCUAGCUUCAGAGUUUCUUGCUGCAAUUUAUCCUUGGUUUUUCUCUCAUCAGAGUUUUAGCGGGGAGAGGGUUGUGUGAGUUUUCCUCUCCAAGAGGCAUCAGGAACAGAGUUACACUUUGUGUCACAAAGCAUCUCCAUCACCACAGGAAGGGAAAGGAAAGCUUCUGCUUUGGUAUACAUCUCACACUCACAUACAUAACAAACAACAUAUGCAGGCAGGACGGCAAAAUUUCUAGCAUAUGGAAUGAACAAGGAAAUUUUCUAUGAACUUCUGUUUUCACAUACAGCAGCACCUAAGUGUGGCAAUUACAGUAUCAGGAAAGAUGCUCAAAUGUUUAUUUCUCCAUUAGGACUUUACACUGCUAUCUGGUCUAAAUGGUGCAGUGAAUCCCAACAGAAGGAGCUUUUAUGGUGAUAGUGUCAUUUUUGCAUCAAAUACAAGCUGAUGAUCUUCAGCUGAAGGAGAAAGCCAUUAAAAAUUGACUAACCUAUUUUUUAGUCAGAAAAGAGGUUUCAUUUAAAACCUUUGUGUGAGAGGCAAUCCAUUUAUCCUCAAAUACCUGCCCAUAAAGUUGCCAUUAUAUGUAGAUAGAAGACAAAAGAAGAAAAAUAAACCUAUUUUCUUAUUUCCCACACAAUGUGCAAAAACUGUCCACUUCCUAUAAAAGAGGGUUUGAACUGGCUAGGAAUUUAAUGGAUUCUGGACAGGAAAACUCCCUCACUCUUAGAUUCAAUCCUUGGAGGAAGCAAUUGUUGUUAGCUUCUCAGUGGGUGAAUUUUCUCUUCCUAGACUGGCUUAAAUUUCAUAGAACCCACCUCAGGCUAGACCUCAAAAGAUACCUGGUGAGAUCUCUCUUAUGAGAAUCAGUGGGAGAGUCUUGCUGCAGGAUGACAGACCCCAUUUGGAGGUCUUGGACUGUCAGGAAAAAGCAAUAGAAAGGUAUAGGCUUAAAAAGUCUUGCAAGUCUUAUAGUGUGUGCCACUGGCAGCUCAGUACACCCUUGUAUUUUAGGAGAACGUAAAUGCCAGACACUGCUGAGCUGCUUCCAUUACCUCAUUUUUAUAAAGUGGGAUAAAACAGUCAUAGACAUAAGAAAAAACAGUGAAAAAGAAAUGGUGAUUAUGUCAUCCCAGUCUUUCAGUUGCUUCUCAAUUCCACUUUGGUGUUGCACUCCACUGCUCACCCUCUCAAUGCACUCUGCUCUACGAUUGUCCUGAUGUUACUGUCUUUGCUACCUAGAAAACAAACAUGGUUUUACAUGGGUGGCUUACAGGUUCUACAAAAUGAGUCUCAAAUACCUCAUCCCCUGGCGGGGUAUUCGUCAGUGUACACACAUUACGUAGGUACUGCAUUGCUGCAAUAUUUGGGAACUAAAAGCAAGCUAAGAAAAGAGGCAGUAGCUUAUUCUUAAAAAGCAACUUUUGGGCCACCACAGCUGUGCUCUUCUCAUCCAUGUGCCACAGAGAAAGUUCCUGCAUAAGUCUCAGCCCCCUUCCAUGAAGAGGAAAGGGGAAAUCAAAGAUGUGGUAAGUAAACUGUUUCUUGCCCCAGUUUUUUGCUGUAACUGUGAGGAUUUCCAGGCUCUUGGAGCCUGCUCGGCACCCAGUGUGAAAGGCACAUCUUCAGGACUGUUUCUGAGAGGCAGGAAAGGACAGAGGGGCUGUGACUUAGGGGCCAGCACCUCCAACCUCUGUUAUCUACCUGCUGGCAUUCCAUGAUUUUUAAUACAGUCUUUCACUGUGUUUGGAAGGGCCCCUGAUAAUCACCCUUAAAGUGAUCUCACCAUUCUGCUUCAAAUCCUUUUUUUCCACUCUCCUGCAAACCAUUGCCAGAUUUGGGGUGAUUGAUGAUGUCAGUGCAGGAGGUUGUAGCACAACAGAGUGCUACAGGUGUUCCCUGCUCUGGGUGUGGUCUUGCAAAACAUUUUAAGGAUUAUGCACAGCAGACCCCCUGCCUUGUUUCUCAGUGGGUUCUGUACAAAUGCAUUCAGAUCCAUGGCUAGGUUCCAAGUAGACUGUGCUAAUAAAAAGCAAAAGAAGAUGAUUUCCUCAGCUCUGUAUGUAACAUUCAGCAAAAACAACAUCAACCAAAAAAAAAAAAAUCAGGUCAAAUAUAAGCAAUAAACUCUAGGUCAAAUUUAGGUAGUUUUCUUUUAUUUCCUUCCAUUUUAUUGACAAUGAACAACACUUAGUGGGUAAACCUAAAAAUAUACCUCCAGUAACUAUUGUUUUGCCUUGGGUAUUUAUGCAGCAUUCCAGCUACAGCAUCUAAUAGCAUUUCUUUUUCCCCACGCUUACAAAUACACACUCAUACUUAAUACAUUAGCAUUUCCACUAUACAUUUUUGCAGUGUAUCCAGUUAAGCAAAUUGCUCAAUUAGCUGAAUAGGGUUUUUUCUUUUCAUUGUGAAAAGACAAGUCUUACCGAACGGAACGGCAUUCUCAGUAAGAGGUCAGUUGGGUGUGAUUUUUGGAAUAAAGGAGAGAGGAUGAGUGGGUUGUAAAAGAUUUUUUUUAAUUGUUCACAUUUUAUUGCCUUUAAAAGCCAAAGAGAGGGCAAACCAACACACGUCCUGGUUCAUGCUGGUAUGUAACUGUAGUGUGUUGUAGAGAAAGCCCACCAUACUUAGUGGAAUUUUCCUGUUACAGUGUGCACCUCAUGGACACAGAAAAGAUUGUGGGACUGUCAAAUACCGAGUGUCAGGGAACAGUAUAUCCACUCGUUGGUAAAAUAAGUCAGUUAAUUUGGCAGGUAAGUAUUAAGUAAUCAUAUUGUCAGAACAAAGCAAGUGGCUAAGAAAGGAAGACAAAGACGAAAAGGAAAAAAUUCAAAGACAAAAUAGGAAGGAACCAAAGUGGAGAGGGGGAAGGGAGAGAAUGUGUGAGUUUGAUGCCCAGGUGAUGAGAGAGUAAGCAAUGAUGAUCCCUCUGUUCUGGGUGGUUCCAGGUCUCCUCAUCCUACUGUCUCAUGUUGGACUCCACUGCUGCUUUUCCACUGUCUGGGAGAAUCCAAACAUCAUUCCACCCCGGUUUUAUCACUAUGGAAUGUAAUGGCUGAGAAAAACUUGACCGAGUUAGAUAUUUUCUAAUCCAUGUUUUAGAAGAUCUUUUUUCAAGAAAUGUUACCAUCUUCAUGCUCUCUAUGGAUUUUUAUCAUUUUUUGCCUACUCAAGUCUUAGAAAAUAUUAGUUUAAUUUUUUUAAGUAAAUAUUGUUCCAUCUUGAUUUGAGUUUUCCCUUGUUUGGUUUCAACAGUGCAAAAUUUCAAAUGAGCCAAAUGAAUUUUUUAAAUCUCAUUCUGUUUUUCCUGAGGUAAAAAUGUCUGAUAUUUGCCUAGGCAAAGUGUUGCAUCACAUACUCUAUUUAUGUUUCAGCAUUGCCGUGACUUUUAAAAGCUCACAGCAGGAAAUUAAGAAAAGCCUGAACUCAUAAUUAUUAAAUAAUAAUAAAAAAUGUACUCUGCUAAGGUUGCAUUUAUUCAAAAUUGUACAAUUAAUAUAUCCCCAUGUUUCCAUUAAUAUAUAUUCCGGUGGAGAAAUUGAUAGGAAAUGUGGUCAUGGCAUGAACUUUACAGCAGAUUUGAAUAGUCUCUGCUGAGCAGAGUUUAAUUGAGCAAAGCAGUUUGGAUAAGAAGUACUGUACAAAAAUGAGAUUAUCCAUCAUGCCCCAUGUAAAUGAUCAAUAUCCACUCCUUCUAUUGACAGAGUUGGAAGGAUUCUACUUAACACAAUCAGACAUCACAGGCAAUGGGGAAUUUAAAUGUCCCUUCCCAUGUGGGGCAAAUCAUCACUCUCUGAAGCUUCCUCCAGCCUUUACCCUCCUUGCUGUGCAGAUGAAAACACCUGCAGCUUCUAAAGCCAGCCGAGGGCAACAUCACGUAGGGCCCAAAUUUCACCUGUUGCUCUGCCCUGUCCUGGAGCUCAGCCAUCACACAAGUAAAACCUUCCUGCACAGAACAUCGGUGCAGAGCCUUAGCACCAUUUGAGACACUGGUGGCAACAUAACUUUCCUUGGUUUCUUAUUACAAUGGUGAAUUUGUGGCAUCUGUUGUCCUCUGUCUUCACUCAUCAACCAUAAGUUGUUAGUGCUUGCCUUUAUGGUUCUUCAGCAUGUAGCUCAUCCUUCUGUGCCACACAGGCUCUCUUACUUCACGAUUAAUUCCUUCCUUCAGUCUGCCAGCAGUGCUAUCUGACCACUUUCUCACCUCCAAAGCCAGCCCAAGUUUUACUCCUUGCUCGUAAAGAGCUUUUUCACUGGCUCCUGCAGAGUCACUGUGUUAUUUGUCUCUACAUGCCCCACAAAAGCUUUGCCAGAAGGGCCCUCAAAGAACAGACCUAGGAGAAGGACUCAGCACACCACAAUCUUUGAGUGAUGAGAGCCAUGCAACUUUUUUUUCUGUGAUCAUGUGUCUGUUUCAGACAAUCCUGUUCUCCUACUUUGACAAACUCCUAGGCAGUUGGCUGCUACCCUCUCAAAUAUAAAUCCUUGGUGGACUCCUGGAGAUGCUACUGCAAAAGAUACAGCAAACAUCUAGAACCCAACUCUGUCUUCUGAAUUUAUCUUUCUUUACUGAGGACAUGGGACAGGUAAUGUCCCUGGAUGAGGCAGUGCACAGGUCUCAAAAAACACCGGAGCUGAAGGAAUAAGUUCUCAGACUUCCACAUAAUAGUGGGAAGCUUUAAUUUUAUUUUAUUAUUUUAAAACACAUACCCAACAUUGUGAAUAACUGGCAAGAAGCAAGGUUUAAAAGGAGAAAAAAGGUUUUCUUAAGCUUUUUACUUAAAUUGUGUUUAUUGUGCAUGGAAACCAAAUUCACACAGUGUUUAUUUCUUGAAAGCACAGAGAAAAAAAAAAUGUGUUGCUGCUGUUGGAGACAAAGGAUGAGAUGUGCAGGGCUUCCACAGCACCUGACAGAAAAAGUGUCUGAUUCAAGUCAAAUAUAAGCAAUAAACUCUAGGUCAGAUUUAAGCAGUUUCCUUUUAUUUACUUCCAUUUUAUUGACGGUGAACAAACCUGAAAAUAUACCUCAGUAACAACUGUUUUGCCUUGAGUAUUUAUGCAGCAUUCCCUGGGUAUUUAUGCAGGAAAAAGUGUCUGAUUCAGGUCACACUGAUUCUUUACACACUAGUGUACAUUGUAAUACAACAAAGCCAGCAGCUCUUCUGCCUUCUCAAAGAGGAGGCACAACACAAAAUGCCCCAAUCCCCACCCACAACUAAAAGCUUAUUGCCAAAUAUUCACUCAAAUUCAUGCCUGGAGACUAAAUAUUCAGGAGAUAAUGAGCAGAGCCCUGUUACCAUAGGAAAACAUUCUGGCUAUUUAAGUAUCAUGUGCAAGUUCCUCAGAAAAAACAAUUCUAAUAAUAAUUUUGUCUCUGAUAUUAUGAAAAUAACCACAGGUUCUUCUUUAAAGCUACAAAAAACAGCCAGCAAAAAUUUUAUUUCACCAGUCUUCAUUGACAGACUCUCUUGUCUGCAGCAAUUCAGAACUCUGGCUACUGAAGCUCAUUGCUUUUUCUUUGCCUCCCUCAGUGCUGAAGAGAUAUUUAUAACUGUUGCAGUCAGUCUUGAAAUAAGUACACAGCACAAGGGUGCUGCAUGUUACCAGUCAAGCAGAAGACAAAUAAAAAGCAAUGAAAAGACAUGAUAUAGAUACAGGGGGGAUUGUGACUACCAAAGAGCUAAUGGUUUUGUGAUGGUAAGAACUGACUUAGAAGAAUACCCAGUAUUAGUAAUGGUUUUGUUGAAAAAUCUCUUCACACCAUUAAAGUAUUAUGCUGUUCUUUAUCACACUUUCCCUGCUUCUUCUUUUCUUUGCUAGUUGCUUGGGCUUUUUUAUACUCUUUCUUUAAAUCUCCCCUACUGGAUUGAAUAGCAUUGAGCUGCCUUUGCCGUACAAAAUCACAGAUCAGUAAAUUUUUGUUUCAUUCUAGACAUAAUUUGAGACAAUCAAAUUUGAAUGGCAAUUUUGUGUUCACAUUAUUUAUUUAUUAACAGUCUUCGAAAUACAGGGGAAAAGGAAAAUACAAAACCCAUUAUACGCAGGAAAUGAACAAAAAAGUGGGGGAAAAGAAAGAACAAAAAAGGGAAAAUAAAGAAAAUAAAAGAAGUAUUUUUCUCUCUGUUUUUUCUUCUAGAAGAUGAAAACCUACUGAGCCACUCCCUUGCAUGGCUAUGCUCAGUACAAGAGGCUGAAAGGAUUCCAGCAGGACACCACUCACAGAGCUCUCACCAUCUGUCCUGAGCAGCUCCAAUUUAAAUUACAGCUGCCUCAGGUCCGUGUAUCCCUGACCAGCUGAGAGGCACUGGAGUACACCAGCGUGUCCUGUGUGCUUUGCACCCCAAGGAGAGGAGGCUGGUGCAAACCAGCCACAUCAGCCCUGUACCUGCAGCCCCUUGUCCCCCUUUGCAUCCUCUCAGCCAAGAGAUUGGAUGCCAGGAUACACACGGCAUCUCUGCUAGCUCAAAAGCACAGAGGGAGAAGAGUAUGGGACAAAUCUGAGCUGCUCCAAAGCCACAAGCUCUGAUCCUGGGCUAGGUGAGAAUUUUUCACAGGUAACAGGACUGGGAGCUGCCUCGAGCCCCAGAGAAGGAAAAGGACACUCACUUUUUUUUGGACUUUGCCCAAAGUAUUUAUUUCAUUAUUUGACAUUGAUUUUGCUGGAUAAGUAACCAAAGUCCAGGAUCAGAAGAGCAGAUGCAUCUUCAGAAGUGUCAGACUGCACUGUGACACCAGAAUCAGCUGGGCAAAAUUGGUGCAUUUCACAACUGCUUUCUAUUGCUAGCCCAUCACUACAGUCCUGCAUUUAAAAAAUCACUUCAAAUGAAGGAAAGGGAAAAUAUAUUCUUCUUUCUCAUGGCUAGAUUGUCCUCCUUCCUUCCCUUCACAAGAAAUAUUUUUAAUUUAAAUGUAAAAGCAAGUUAUGGGUAUUUAUCUCUUUGUAGAAAUAAAACUCAAUUUUGCUGUAGGGUGAUCUUUACUUUUAAAUAUAUUUCAGUAGUGUUCAUUUAUAUAAUGACAGCCAUACCUCCUUCAUGCAUGACUUAGCUUGCUUUCUGUAUCUUCUCGUCAGAUGAGCUCAAGGGCUGCAGAAGAGGUUCCCAAAUUACAUUUCCCUCAGCCAUAUUUCAGUAUACAAGUAAAUGUCCAAUUUCUACACAUUCUGAGCACUGAGUUGCAGCCCCCUAGGACUACCCCCUCCUUCAAUCUGAAAAUCAAGACCUAAGACUCAAAAAGAAAGCCCAUACUGAAGGCUCCUUCAGUGAAGGUUUUAUGCCUGAAUCAGUAACCUGCUCAGGAGGCUUGCCAGCUUUUCCCAGUAAUAACACUUCACAUUAAUUAUUUGAGCUCAGAUGCAGCAUUUGCAGAAGAAAAACAUUCUGCAGUUUACCAUUCUGGAAAGAUGUGAUUGUUGUGUUGUCAAUAAUGAGAAAGAUUACAGAGUAGGCGAAUUUGUUACAUAUAUGUAAGGCCCAUGAAAUACAUCUCUCUAUGAAUCUUUAAAUAUUAUCAGCCUACAGUAAUUGUUACUUACACUCCACCCACUUCAGCCUUCUUUCCUUCCUUCCUUUCCUCUGAAGAAUAAUUUGACAGUUGCAUUCUUUGAGAAAGUUGAACUACAAAAUUAUUUCUAGGUCUAACAGGGACACAAGUAUGCCAGUGUAAGUACAGUUACAAAAAUGUGGACGAAUUUGAAACCUUCUCUUGGAGGUUAGGUUUCUUGCCUUUCGUUCCUUUUUACUUAUACAAUUUUUUCCCUUAAACUGCUAGGAAACACUAACAAAUGGUCCUUAAGAAAAACAAAAGAAGUGGCCAAGCUCAGGGGAGCAGGGCAUCUGGUUGCACCUCUCUUAUCCGGGAGUUUCUCUCGGAGGGGCAGAGGUACCAGGACAAUUGGGCUGACAAAAG